CCGGACCUGACUGCUAUCGGAUUGGUACUAAGCCAUGCGAGUCAUUGUAGCAAUACAAGGCGGACGGCUCAGUAACACGUAGUCAACCUAACCUAUGGACGUGGAUAACCUCGGGAAACUGAGAAUAAACCGCGAUAGAUCAUUAUGCCUGGAAUGGCUUAUGGUUCAAACAAUUUAUUGCCGUAGGAUGGGACUGCGGCCUAUCAGCUUGUUGGUGAGGUAAUGGCCCACCAGGGCUAUAACAGGUACGGGCUCUGAGAGGAGAAGCCCGGAGAUGGGUACUGAGACACGGACCCAGGCCCUAUGGGGCGCAGCAGGCGAGAAACCUUAGCAAUGUGCGAAAGCACGACUAGGUUAAUCCGAGUGAUUCCUGUUGAAGGAAUCUUUUGUCAGUCGUAAAACCACAGACGAAUAAGGGGUGGGCAAGUCUGGUGUCAGCCGCCGCGGUAAUACCAGCACCUCGAGUGGUCAGGAGGUUUAUUGGGCCUAAAGCAUCCGUAGCCGGCUUUGCAAGUCUCCGGUUAAAUCCAGCUGCUCAACAGAUGGGCUGCCGGAGAUACUACACAGCUAGGGAGCGGGAGAGGCAGACGGUAUUCUGUGGGUAGGGGUAAAAUCCAUUGAUCCAUAGAGGACCACCAGUGGCGAAGGCGGUCUGCCAGAACGCGUUCGACGGUGAGGGAUGAAAGCUGGGGGAGCAAACCGGAUUAGAUACCCGGGUAGUCCCAGCUGUAAACGAUGCAAACUCGGUGAUGCAUUGGCUUAUGGCCAAUGCAGUGCCGCAGGAAGCCGUUAAGUUUGCCGCCUGGGAAGUACGGACGCAAGUCUGAA
rnacentral:rRNA from 1 species